rnacentral:rRNA from 1 species
GUUAUAGGAUCAAGUGACUAAGUGCAUGCGGCGGAUGCCUUGGCGAUCACAGGCGAAGAAAGACGCGGCAGCCUGCGAAAAGCUGCGGGGAGCUGGCAAACGAGCUUUGAUCCGCAGAUAUCUGAAUGGGGGAACCCACACCGCAAGGUGUAUCCGUAACUGAAUACAUAGGUUACGGAGGCGAACGAGGAGAACUGAAACAUCUAAGUAUCCUCAGGAAAAGAAAUCAACCGAGAUUCCGGCAGUAGCGGCGAGCGAACCCGGAGGAGCCCAGCUUUUGAUAGUACGAACUUUAGCCGAAAGGACCUGGAAAGGCCUGCUAUAGUGGGUGAUAGCCCCGUAGGCGAAAGAGUUGGUACGGUACUAAGGAAGCGAGAAGUAGAGCGGGACACGUGGAAUCCUGUUCGAAGACGGGGGGACCAUCCUCCAAGGCUAAAUACUCGUGAUCGACCGAUAGUGAACCAGUACCGUGAGGGAAAGGCGAAAAGAACCCCGGGAGGGGAGUGAAAUAGAACCUGAAACCGCAUGCAUACAAACAGUAGGAGCCUUUACGGAGGUGACUGCGUACCUUUUGCAUAAUGGGUCAGCGACUUACAUUCUGUGGCGAGCUUAACCGAAUAGGGGAGGCGCAGCGAAAGCGAGUUCGAAAUGAGCGUUCAGUCGCAGGGUGUAGACCCGAAACCAGAUGAGCUAUCCAUGGCCAGGUUGAAGGUGUGGUAACACACACUGGAGGACCGAACCGACUAGUGUUGCAAAAUUAGCGGAUGAGCUGUGGAUAGGGGUGAAAGGCCAAACAAAUCUGGAGAUAGCUGGUUCUCCCCGAAAACUAUUGAGGUAGUGCCUCGUGUGUCGCUCCAGGGGGUAGAGCACUGUUUUGGCUAGGGGGACAUGGAGUCUUACCAAACCAAGGCAAACUCCGAAUACCUGGAAGCGUAAGCACGGGAGACAGAGCACCGGGUGCUAACGUCCGGACUCAAAAGGGAAACAACCCAGACCGCCGGCUAAGGUCCCAAAUAACAGCUAAGUGGAAAACGAAGUGGAAAGGCCGUGACAACCAGGAAGUUGGCUUAGAAGCAGCCAUCCUUCAAAGAAAGCGUAAUAGCUCACUGGUCGAGUCCUUCUGCGCGGAAGAUGUAACGGGGCUAAGCUGUUAACCGAAGCCGCGGAUGCGCUGGUUAUCCAGUGCGUGGUAGGGGAGCGUUCUGUAAGUCUGCGAAGGCGGUUCGAGAGGACUGCUGGAGAUAUCAGAAGUGCGAAUGCUGACAUGAGUAACGUUAAAGCAGGUGAAAAGCCUGCUCGCCGUAAGCCCAAGGAUUCCUGCUCUACGUUCAUCGGAGCAGGGUGAGUCGGCUCCUAAGGUCAGGCCGAAAGGCGUAGCCGAUGGGAAUCAGGUUAAUAUUCCUGAACCUGCGUCAGAUGCGAUGGGGGGACGGAGCAUGGAAGAUCAUCCGGGUGUUGGAAGUCCCGGUUGUUUAGCGUAGGAGGUCUGCAGGCAAAUCCGCAGACGCAUCUCCAAGGCAAAGACACGUGCCGCCACGGCGGCGAAGUGAUCGGAAGUGCUUCCAAGAAAAGCCUCUAAGCCCCAGUCUGACGCGGACCGUACCGCAAACCGACACUGGUGGGCGAGCUGAAUAUGCUCAGGCGCUUGAGAGAACUCGGGAGAAGGAACUCGGCAAAUUGACACCGUAACUUCGGAAGAAGGUGUGCCGUAGUACCGUGAGAGGAGAGACACCUUGAGCGGGAAACGGUCUCAGAGAAUAGGUGGCUGCGACUGUUUAUUAAAAACACAGCACUCUGCAAAGUCGAAAGACGACGUAUAGGGUGUGAUGCCUGCCCGGUGCUGGAAGAUUAAUUGAUGGGGUGAGAGCCCUUGAUCGAAGUCCCAGUAAACGGCGGCCGUAACUAUAACGGUCCUAAGGUAGCGAAAUUCCUUGUCGGGUAAGUUCCGACCUGCACGAAUGGCAUAACGAUGGCCACACUGUCUCCUCCCGAGACUCAGUGAAGUUGAAAUGUUUGUGAUGAUGCAAUCUACCCGCGGCUAGACGGAAAGACCCCAUGAACCUUUACUGCAGCUUUGCAUUGAACUGUGAACCGAUUUGUGUAGGAUAGGUGGGAGGCAGAGAAGAGGCCACGCCAGUGGUCUUGGAGCCGACCUUGAAAUACCACCCUGAUUUGUUUGCGGUUCUAACCACGGACAGUGAUCCUGUCUUGGGACCGUGCAUGGUAGGCAGUUUGACUGGGGCGGUCUCCUCCUAAAGGGUAACGGAGGAGUACGAAGGUACGCUAGGUACGGUCGGAAAUCGUGCUGAUAGUGCAAUGGCAAAAGCGUGCUUGACUGCGAGAGCAACAACUCGAGCAGAUGCGAAAGCAGGUCAUAGUGAUCCGGUGGCUCUGAAUGGAAGGGCCAUCGCUCAACGGAUAAAAGGUACUCUGGGGAUAACAGGCUGAUACCGCCCAAGAGUUCAUAUCGACGGCGGUGUUUGGCACCUCGAUGUCGGCUCAUCUCAUCCUGGGGCUGUAGUCGGUCCCAAGGGUAUGGCUGUUCGCCAUUUAAAGAGGUACGUGAGCUGGGUUUAAAACGUCGUGAGACAGUUUGGUCCCUAUCUGCCGUGGGCGUUGGAAGAUUGACGGGGGCUGCUCCUAGUACGAGAGGACCGGAGUGGACGCACCUCUGGUGUACCGGUUGUCACGCCAGUGGCAUUGCCGGGUAGCUAAGUGCGGAAGAGAUAACCGCUGAAAGCAUCUAAGCGGGAAACUUGCCUGAAGAUGAGUCUUCCCGGAGGUUGAACCUCCCUCAAGAGUCGUCCGAGACCAGGACGUCGAUAGGUCAGGUGUGUAAGCGCUGUAAGGCGUUGAGCUAACUGAUACUAAUUGCUCGUGAGGCUUGAUCCUAUAACC